rnacentral:rRNA from 1 species
GACGAAGGUGGCGAGCGUUGUUCGGAAUCACUGGGCAUAAAGCGCACGUAGGCGGUGUCAUAAGUCGGAUGUGAAAUCCCUCGGCCUAACCGAGGAACUGCGUCCGAUACUGUGAUGCUUGAGGAUCAGAGGGGUGCAUGGAAUUUCCGGUGGAGCGGUGAAAUGCGUUGAUAUCGGAAGGAACUCCGGCGGCGAAAGCGAUGCACUGGCUGAUUUCUGACGCUGAGGUGCGAAAGCCAGGGGAGCAAACGGG